rnacentral:rRNA from 1 species
GACGAACGCUGGCGGCGUGCUUAACACAUGCAAGUCGAACGGAAAGGCCCUGCUUGCAGGGUCCUCGAGUGGCGAACGGGUGAGUAACACGUGGGUGAUCUGCCCUGCACUUCGGGAUAAGCCUGGGCAACGGGGUAUAAUACCGGAUAGGAGCCACUUUCAGUGUGAGGGAGGGAAAGUUUUUUCGGUGUAGGGUGAGCGGGCGGCCUAUCAGCGUGUUGGCGGGGUAAUGGCCUACAAAGGCGGCGACGGGUAGCCGGCCUGUGAGGGUGGACGGCCGCAUUGGGACUGAGGUACGGCCCAGACUCCUACGGGAGGCAGCAGUGGGGAAUAUUGCACCAUGGGCGCCAGCCUGAUGCAGCGACGCCGCGUGGGGGAUGACGGCCUUCGGGUUGUAGACACCUUUCGCUAUGGACGAAGCUUUUUGUGACGGUACCUAGAUAAGAAGCACCGGCUAACUUCGUG